rnacentral:rRNA from 1 species
CCUACGGGGGGCUGCAGUAAGGAAUAUUGGUCAAUGGGCGGGAGCCUGAACCAGCCAUGCCGCGUGCAGGAAGACGGCCUUAUGGGUUGUAAACUGCUUUUAUCGGGGAAUAAAACUUUCUACGCGUAGAGAGCUGAAGGUACCCGAAGAAUAAGCAUCGGCUAACUCCGUGCCAGCAGCCGCGGUAAUCCGGAGGAUGCAAGCGUUAUUCGGAUUCAUGGGGUUUAAGGCGUGUGGAGAAGGCAGUGGUGAAAUUCUAGUGCUUAACAUUAGACCUGCCAUUGAUACUGUCAGUCUAGAGUAUAGUUGGAGUGGGCGGAAUGUGUCAUGUAGCGGUGAAAUGCUUAGAUAUGACACAGAACACCGAUCGCGAAGGCAGCUCACUAAGCUAAAACUGACGCUCAUGCACGAAAGCGUGGGGAUCAAACAGGAUUAGAUACCCCGGUAGUC